GGUGUAGCUCAGUGGUACAGUGCUUGCCUAGCAUGCAUGAGGCCCUAGGUUCAACCCCCAGUACC
rnacentral:tRNA from 1 species